rnacentral:RNase_P_RNA from 1 species
AUGCAAAAACAGCCAAUCGCUUGGGAUUAAUGCCUAAGAGGAAAGUCCGGGCAACAUAGAGUACUGUGCUACCUAACGGGUAGGAAAUAGUGUGUAAUGCACUAUUUACAGAAAGUGCAACAGAAAACAAACCACCGAACAUAGUUCGGUAAGGGUGAAAUGGCGGUGUAAGAGACCACCGGUAUUUUAGUGAUAAAGUACGCAUGGCAAACCUCACAGGUUGCAAGGCCAAAUAGGUUACGAUGCUUGUUUUGCACAAGCAAAAUGUUACUCGCAUUUUCGUAAUGGGUAGGCUGCUAGAUUUUAACUGCGAAGUUAAAACCAGAUAAAUGAUUGGCGCAUUUAAGUAACCUUAAAUGUACAGAACCCGGCUUAUCGUUUUUGUAUAUCG